rnacentral:rRNA from 1 species
UUUAUGGAGAGUUUGAUCCUGGCUCAGGAUGAACGCUGGCGGCGUGCCUAAUACAUGCAAGUCGAGCGAACGGACGAGAAGCUUGCUUCUCUGAUGUUAGCGGCGGACGGGUGAGUAACACGUGGAUAACCUACCUAUAAGACUGGGAUAACUUCGGGAAACCGGAGCUAAUACCGGAUAAUAUUUUGAACCGCAUGGUUCAAAAGUAAAAGACGGUCUUGCUGUCACUUAUAGAUGGAUCCGCGCUGCAUUAGCUAGUUGGUAAGGUAACGGCUUACCAAGGCAACGAUGCAUAGCCGACCUGAGAGGGUGAUCGGCCACACUGGAACUGAGACACGGUCCAGACUCCUACGGGAGGCAGCAGUAGGGAAUCUUCCGCAAUGGGCGAAAGCCUGACGGAGCAACGCCGCGUGAGUGAUGAAGGUCUUCGGAUCGUAAAACUCUGUUAUUAGGGAAGAAUAUAUGUGUAAGUAACUGUGCACAUCUUGACGGUACCUAAUCAGAAAGCCACGGCUAACUACGUGCCAGCAGCCGCGGUAAUACGUAGGUGGCAAGCGUUAUCCGGAAUUAUUGGGCGUAAAGCGCGCGUAGGCGGUUUUUUAAGUCUGAUGUGAAAGCCCACGGCUCAACCGUGGAGGGUCAUUGGAAACUGGAAAACUUGAGUGCAGAAGAGGAAAGUGGAAUUCCAUGUGUAGCGGUGAAAUGCGCAGAGAUAUGGAGGAACACCAGUGGCGAAGGCGACUUUCUGGUCUGUAACUGACGCUGAUGUGCGAAAGCGUGGGGAUCAAACAGGAUUAGAUACCCUGGUAGUCCACGCCGUAAACGAUGAGUGCUAAGUGUUAGGGGGUUUCCGCCCCUUAGUGCUGCAGCUAACGCAUUAAGCACUCCGCCUGGGGAGUACGACCGCAAGGUUGAAACUCAAAGGAAUUGACGGGGACCCGCACAAGCGGUGGAGCAUGUGGUUUAAUUCGAAGCAACGCGAAGAACCUUACCAAAUCUUGACAUCCUUUGACAACUCUAGAGAUAGAGCCUUCCCCUUCGGGGGACAAAGUGACAGGUGGUGCAUGGUUGUCGUCAGCUCGUGUCGUGAGAUGUUGGGUUAAGUCCCGCAACGAGCGCAACCCUUAAGCUUAGUUGCCAUCAUUAAGUUGGGCACUCUAAGUUGACUGCCGGUGACAAACCGGAGGAAGGUGGGGAUGACGUCAAAUCAUCAUGCCCCUUAUGAUUUGGGCUACACACGUGCUACAAUGGACAAUACAAAGGGCAGCGAAACCGCGAGGUCAAGCAAAUCCCAUAAAGUUGUUCUCAGUUCGGAUUGUAGUCUGCAACUCGACUACAUGAAGCUGGAAUCGCUAGUAAUCGUAGAUCAGCAUGCUACGGUGAAUACGUUCCCGGGUCUUGUACACACCGCCCGUCACACCACGAGAGUUUGUAACACCCGAAGCCGGUGGAGUAACCUUUUAGGAGCUAGCCGUCGAAGGUGGGACAAAUGAUUGGGGUGAAGUCGUAACAAGGUAGCCGUAUCGGAAGGUGCGGCUGGAUCACCUCCUUUCU